rnacentral:rRNA from 1 species
GGGGAAUCUUGGACAAUGGGCGCAAGCCUGAUCCAGCCAUGCCGCGUGAGUGAAGAAGGCCUUAGGGUUGUAAAGCUCUUUCGUCAGGGAAGAUAAUGACGGUACCUGAAGAAGAAGCCCCGGCUAACUCCGUGCCAGCAGCCGCGGUAAUACGGAGGGGGCUAGCGUUGUUCGGAAUCACUGGGCGUAAAGCGCACGUAGGCCGACGGUUAAGUCGGGGGUGAAAGCCUGGAGCUCAACUCCAGAACUGCCUCCGAUACUGGUCGUCUUGAGUCCGAGAGAGGUGAGUGGAAUUCCCAGUGUAGAGGUGAAAUUCGUAGAUAUUGGGAAGAACACCAGUGGCGAAGGCGGCUCACUGGCUCGGUACUGACGCUGAGGUGCGAAAGCGUGGGGAGCAAAC